UCCAUCUGCCUGUAGCCACUCCGUUUAUGUAUUUGUGUUUAUUUCCCGGAGCUGUCAAAGUAUGCACGCUCUUUGCACACCGCUUCUGGAGGCUGGCGGGAGUGCCUUUUGAUUUAGGUAGCAGUCACAAGAUAAUAGAUGCUGUUAAGUGUAAUGAAGCAUGAAGAUAACAAGAUAAAUGAACCAGAAGCUUUUCAGCUUGAUCACAUCCUCCAGUUCAUAACGGUACAGAUUUUGUAUUCUAGACACAAGUGUCACCUUGGGGUUGAAAUUAUGCUAGAUGGAUCCAUGUAAGUGUAAUUAAGAUAGCUUUUUUCCUCCCCCAGUAACCUUCCUACUUUAAAUAUAUAAAGGAAAAUGAGUCUUCCUGUGUUAAAGAGAAUUGCUUUCCAAGCCAGAAAUUGCGGGCAACUCAUCAGUGAAGGCAGAAGGCAACACCAAAUCUGUUUGCAACCUCCUGAAAGGGAAGGCAGACUCAUACUGGUGAAAGAAAACGGGUUGCUGCUGCUGGGGAGCAACCACAUCCAGCUUGAGAACAACACCCUGCGCAUCCUGAGAGCCUUGUUAGACGACACCAGCUACUACGCUUGUGUGGCCCACAACAAAGUCAGCCUGAACGAAACCUCCUUCCUUCUCCAUGUCCAGAUUGAUUGCAGGUUUUUUCCUGAUUCCCAGGAAAAAAAAAGAAAAGAAGGGGAGUGGGGGGAAAUGGCUCCAAACCACCAGUUUUUGGUGGCAGAUUUUUGCUUGGAGGGAGUGAGGUGGGGAUAA
rnacentral:lncRNA from 14 species